GGUACGAGGAAGUGGAAUAGAGAAUGAGGUCGGGUGACGGGAGUGAAGUAAAGGAGAAGAGACCUAGGGGAAGGAGCAGAUCGAGUGACCCCCACGUCCAGCGUCAACGUUGUGGUAGGCGUCCUUAGCCGCCCUAUGCGAUCGGGAGUCAGGCCUAGCUGCAGCUACGGAGGCCGAGGCUGUACGUGCGGGCGACCUGUGGCGGCACUUGGUGGAACAAAGGGCGGAGAACCUGGCUCCGACAGAAGCAGCCAAGGCAGCGGGCGGUGACGCCGUGGCGCCAGUAGGAGGAGUGGCUUGUCGAGGUCCCUGGUACUGCCCGAGGCACAACAGGCGUAGAGGAGACCUGGUACCUGAGCUUCGGCGCCCAGGGAGGAUGAAGAAGGGACUGCAACUGAAGGUAACAGCGACAGGCCUCGAGCAACGAGACGAGGUAGGUUGGAACGGUGAAUGUCGUACCCAAAGAAUUAGCAAAUUUAUCUCAGGCCGUUACUCCCCAUAAUACUCAAGCUAGGUGUCGAAGUAGUCCUGCGACUGGUCCUUCCGUUCGUAGUACUUAAGGGAUAGAAUACAAAAUGAAUACAACUUCCUAAUAUGAUAGAACAACGGGUACAACCAAUGGUACAGCAUGGAAAGAAACGUUAUAGGUGUAAAUCCUGUACCCAUCCUCAACGAACGACAAGUACUAGUCGCCCAACACUGUAUAUAAUUAAGGCCGUUAAACAUCAGUAGAAUUUUAUCAUGUCAAUACUAUAGAAGUCUGGUCUUUUACGGUUUGCCUCUGGCUCGAGGUACCUCCGGAAAUAAGUUAUUGAAGUUUUAAGUUUGAAAAGUCAAAGUUUUUUAAGACUUUUAUUUGUGUGUAUAUGGAUCUAUGUAUUACAUGUACACACGUUUAAUAGUCCAGUUUUGUGUAAUUUUACACUCGAUGUGUUUUUUCUUUUAAGACCACGAAAAAUCGUACAUAUGACAAGUAGAAGUUUCAGAUACUAAAAAGAAACACGUCGAACGUUAAGUUCGAUAAAGUAUCACUUUAAAAAGCGUGUAUGUG
rnacentral:rRNA from 1 species